AUGGAGCUGCGGCAUGGAGGAGUAUCAUCUGGCGCAAGGAUUUGGAUGGGGAUGGCCUCCUUCAUCAGGGUCGAGCACCGGUGUCCAUGGAGCACCAUUUGUUUGCAGAGUGUUCUGGAGAGAAAAGAGGAAGGGAGAGGCAGGAGUUUGUGCGGGGUGGAAGAAGAGGUGGAGGCGCACAAUAAGGAGGGGCUGCAGUUUUGGGAACUGAUGGGAUUUAUGGGAAAGAGGGAGGGAUGUUUCUCUUAUGUACGUGUGGCUGUAUGUUUCUUCUAUGUGUGUGUGGGUGGAGGGAGCGUACAUAGGAAGGAAGAGGAAGGAGAAUAG
rnacentral:rRNA from 1 species